rnacentral:misc_RNA from 1 species
UUCCGUUUCUGGGUUGAUUGUUUCUUUUGUUUUCUGGUCUUGGGAGGAUUGAAAAUUUGUGGGAUUCUUCGAUUUGGGGGGUUGGUGAUUGAUUGAAUUGAGUUUUGUUGAUGUCGUCGAUGGCGGCGGCGUCUUCCUACUGGUGUUACCGAUGCAGUCGCUUUGUUAGGGUUUCUAAUCAGGAUUCUGUUGUAUGCCCUGAUUGUAAUAGUGGAUUCGUUGAACAGAUCCAGCAUCCGUCGAGGUUGGUGAACGUGGAAGCGGCUCCACGGAGGAGGUUUCCGGCUGCGGCGAUGUAUAUGAUUGGCCACCGCUCGAAUUCAGGACAGAAUUUGGGAUCUGGGCUUCGGAGAUCUCGGAGGAAUGGAGGGGAUCGCUCGCCUUUUAAUCCUGUGAUUGUUCUUCGUGGGCCAUCUGAUGGGACUGAAGCUGGAGAAAGUCGUCGGUUUGAGCUUUAUUAUGAUGAUGGCGGUGGUUCUGGCCUGAGACCUCUGCCACUGAGUAUGUCCGAGUUUUUGUUGGGGUCUGGGUUUGAUAGACUUCUGGAGCAACUUUCUCAGAUUGAAAUGAACGGUAUUGGGCGUUGCGAGAACCCGCGGGCGUCGAAGGCUGCGAUUGAAUCAAUGCCCACUUUUAAAAUCUGUGAAAAUCAUUUGGAAAUUGAGUCGCAUUGUGCCGUUUGCAAAGAAGCAUUCGAAUUGGAGAGUGAAGCACGGGAGAUGCCGUGUAAGCAUAUUUAUCAUUCUGAUUGUAUUCUACCUUGGCUUUCCAUUCAAAAUUCUUGUCCAGUGUGUCGCCACGAAUUGCCGUCAGAUAAUCAGAACUCUCCGGAUGCAGCUCAAGGUGGCGAAAAUGGGGAGGAGAAUGUGGGGUUAACCAUUUGGAGGUUACCCGGCGGGGGGUUUGCAGUAGGGCGGUUUCAUGGUGGCAGGAGAGGUGGGGAGAGAGAGCUCCCGGUUGUUUACACUGAGGUGGAUGGCGGUUUUACCAAUGGUGGCCUUCCUAGAAGGGUAUCAUUUGCUUCAAGAGGCAGAGGUAGGGAGAGAGGCAGGUGGAGCCGAGUUAUUCGUAAUAUGUUUGCUUGCUUUG